AUUGAACGCUGGCGGCAGGCUUAACACAUGCAAGUCGAGCGGAGAUGAGGUGCUUGCACCUUAUCUUAGCGGCGGACGGGUGAGUAAUGCUUAGGAAUCUGCCUAUUAGUGGGGGACAACAUUCCGAAAGGAAUGCUAAUACCGCAUACGCCCUACGGGGGAAAGCAGGGGAGAUUCGGACCUUGCGCUAAUAGAUGAGCCUAAGUCGGAUUAGCUAGUUGGUGGGGUAAAGGCAUACCAAGGCGACGAACUGUAGCGGGUCUGAGAGGAUGGUCCGCCACACUGGUACUGAGACACGGCCCAGACUCCUACGGGAGGCAGCAGUGGGGAAUAUUGGACAAUGGGCGGAAGCCUGAUCCAGCCAUGCCGCGUGUGUGAAGAAGGCCUUUUGGUUGUAAAGCACUUUAAGCGAGGAGGAGGCUACCUGGAUUAAUACUCUAGGAUAGUGGACGUUACUCGCAGAAUAAGCACCGGCUAACUCUGUGCCAGCCGCCGCAGUAAUAC
rnacentral:rRNA from 1 species